UACGGAGGGUGCAAGCGUUGUCCGGAAUUAUUGGGCGUAAAGAGCUCGUAGGCGGUUUGUCACGUCGGCUGUGAAAUCCCGAGGCUCAACCUCGGGUCUGCAGUCGAUACGGGCAAACUAGAGUAUUGCAGGGGAGACUGGAAUUCCUGGUGUAGCGGUGAAAUGCGUAGAGAUCGGGAGGAAUACCAGAGGCGAAAGCGGCGGCCUGGACAGUUACUGACACUCAACUGCGAAAGCGUGGGGAGCAAACAGG
rnacentral:rRNA from 1 species